CUGGUUCAUCAAGCUGCUGCUUUGUUCAUUUUUUUGGCAGGUGGUCUCUGAGCUACAUGUGUUCAGUGCAAUCCGGCCUUGGCGCUUCAGAGAUUACAACAAGUGUUUAUAUCCCACCCUUCUCACCCCAAAGGGAAUCCAGAGCGGCUUACAGAACACACAUAUGGCAAACAUUCAAUGCUGAUUAUAUAACUAACAAGGACAGACAACACAAACAGAGGUCAUCUGUUCACAUCUGUUCCAGCUAUCCAGGCUAUCACACAUCUCCUAAGCACAACUGAAAAUAAUACUGACAUUGAAGAAACCCACUGCUUCCUUCUGAAUGGGUCUGAACCUACUCUUUGGAAGAACAAAUCAACCACCUGAGAGUAAAAUGAAGAGGGAAUGAAAAUGGGUUCACCAGCUCCAAAACCAGAGGGCUCACAAGACUGGAAAUUUAGCCGACUCCUA